rnacentral:rRNA from 1 species
UAGGGAAUCUUCGGCAAUGGGGGGAACCCUGACCGAGCAACGCCGCGUGAGUGAAGAAGGUUUUCGGAUCGUAACGCUCUGUUGUUAAGGAAGAACGAGUGUGAGAAUGGAAAGUUCAUGCUGUGACGGUACUUAACCAGAAAGGGACGGCUAACUACGUGCCAGCAGCCGCGGUAAUACGUAGGUCCCGAGCGUUGUCCGGAUUUAUUGGGCGUAAAGCGAGCGCAGGCGGUUAGAAAAGUCUGAAGUGAAAGGCAGUGGCUCAACCAUUGUAGGCUUUGGAAACUGUUUAACUUGAGUGCAGAAGGGGAGAGUGGAAUUCCAUGUGUAGCGGUGAAAUGCGUAGAUAUAUGGAGGAACACCGGUGGCGAAAGCGGCCUUCUGGGCCAUAACUGACGCUGAGGAGCGAAAGCUAGGGUAGCGAACAGG